GGCCCGUGCGGGGUCGGGGGUCCCGCCCGCGGGGGCGCCGGGGCGGUGGCGGAGGCGCUUCGUCAGCGCCGGGCAGCGGCGGCGGCUGUGCCUCGGCGGUGCCCUGCGGAGGGUGUUGCCCCCUUCCCCGAGAGCGCUCCGUGUCCCGGUCCCCGGGGUGCCCUUGUGCCCCGUGGCACCGGCGGGAGUCCCGCGCCGCGCUGCCCGCGGAAGGGCCGGCUCAGCCCCGCUCGGCCGGCUGAGGGUGCCGCCGGUGUUCGUGUGCCUUUGCCGGGAGCCGGGGAAGGUCUGUUUUAGACUGUAAACAACGAAAUCCAAGUGCUGCCCGUCCUGUUCGGUGCGCCGAGAUCCUCGGCACGCUUUGGGGCUCGGUGGAAAUGUGGUGUGAAGCACAGAAGCAUGCUUUCCACUGAGCCUCACACUGCCACCUGUGAUACAGAAUGUCUCUAAGUGAGAGCAACAGUGUGGUGUUUGCCUAUGAAUCCUCAGUGCACAGUACCAAUGUACUCCUCAGCCUCGAUGAUCAGCGCAAGCAAGAUAUCCUUUGUGAUGUUACCAUUUUAGUGGAGGAUCAGCGAUUUCGGGCCCACAGAGCUGUGCUUGCAGCUUGCAGCAGUUACUUCCUUUCAAGAAUUGUGGGCCAGGUGGAUGCUGAUCUUAUCAUCACCUUGCCGGAAGAGGUUACACUUAAAGGAUUUAGUCCUUUGCUUCAGUUUGCAUAUACAGCAAAACUUGUUUUAAAUAAAGACAAUGUGUCUGAAGUUUGCAAAUGUGCAGAAUUUUUGGGUGUACGCAACAUUGAAGAGUCCUGCUUUCAAUUUCUCAAAUUCAGAUUUUUGGACUUUAAAUUGGAUCAGCAGGAAUGUCCUAGGAAAAAGUGUUGCACACAGCGUUGUCAGAAAGCAAACCCUAAAACUGGCAAUGUGGAUGAUGGAGACCUAGAAAUAAAUGAUGAAGUAGAAGCACUUCUAGAAAAGGAAUAUAGUCAAAUUCCUGACACAAAGCCCUGUAAAGAUGAAGAAAAUGCUAAAUCAUUGCCUGUUCUCCAAAAUAAUGCCAAUCAAAACUGUGAUCCUGUACAUUUAGAAAGGGGUAAUGCUUCCAGCUUAUCUUCCCAAUGCCCAAAGUAUAGAAAAUUCCAGAAAGCUUUUGGAAAUGACAAAGUUAAUACUUCAGAGUCCAGCUCCAGUAUUAAAGAUGUUCAGGUACCACCAUUUGCAACUUCUCUUGAGAAGGAAAUACCUGAUAACGAUGGCAUACAAAAAGCUCAGGAGUGUGUGCCUAUGCAGCUGAUCUCAAACUGUGAAGAGACUCAGGUAGAAAUGGAAGAAGGGGAAGAAGGCAUUCAGAAAAAAGAAGAGUCAAGGAGAGAUUCUGUAACUCGGAAUGUGUCAUGUCCUGUGGAGAAAAUGGAUCUUGCUGCUUUUCCCCAAAACUCUGCUGCACCUCAUGGACUCAAUUCUGUGUCUAUUUUACAUAGUUGUGAGCAAUAUGGUAACUUGAAUUUCAGUAGUAUGCAAAACAACACAGUCUUAGCUGAAAAAACUGUGUCAAGUACUGGAGCUGGAAAUGACAAAACUGAAAGUCAGGGUAACCCAUCUUCAAAGGUGGAUUUGUGCAUUAGGGAAGCCACUAGCAUCACCUCAGCUGGAGAUCGAAGCAGUGUGGAGAGAGAGAUAGCAGAACAGCUAGCACAGGGGUUCUGGAGUGAUGUUCACAGCACAGAUGCCUGUCAAAUACAUUUACCACCUGCAGUUUCUAAAGAGUAUUUGGAGCCCACCUACUCGGGGAAAAAAUCAGAGUGUCCGUGGCUGGGGAUCAGGAUCAGUGAAAGCCCUGAACCUUGCUCUCAGCGAACUUUUACAACACUGAAUUCAGUCAAUUGCCCCUUUAUAAGCAACCUUAGCACUGAAGGAUGUUCCAGCACCUCUGAAAUAAACAGUGGAGAUUAUGUUCAAGGACAGCAACAAGAACAGUGUCCCUAUAACUAUGUGAUAAGUUUGGGAGAGGAUUCGGAGACUGACACUGAGGGAGACAGUGAAUCCUGUUCAGCAAGAGAACAAGAAUGUGAGGUAAAACUGCCAUUUAAUGCACAAAGGAUUAUCUCACUUUCCAGAAAUGACUUCCAGUCAUUUCUGAAAAUGCAUAAAUUAACUCCUGAACAAUUGGACUGCAUUCAUGAUAUCCGAAGACGAAGUAAAAACAGAAUUGCAGCGCAGCGAUGUCGCAAGAGAAAACUUGACUGUAUACAAAAUCUUGAAUCUGAAAUUGAAAAACUGCAAAAUGAGAAGGAGAAUUUGCUGAAGGAAAGAAACCACAUUUUAUCAACUCUGGGUGAGACAAAGCAAAAUCUGACUGGACUUUGCCAGCAGGAUCCACUGAAGUCCUUCAGAUGGAGCCUCAUCAGCUUGCACUCCUACAGGCCUGUCAGAUACUUUUAGGUGGCAGUGAAAAAUGGUGUGUUGAAUCAACAUGUGAAGGUAAUUUAAAUGCAGAUGUUAUAACACUGUUGGUUGGUAUUGUCACACAAUUGCUCGUUGUAAAUAAUUACAACAAGUUAUAAAACUACCCACAUUUACAACAUUUACUUGAAUGCAGAACAAUCAGCUAUCAGCUGUGUGAAAUUAUCAUUAUUAUUUUAAAAGUAGAAGGUUAAAAACCAGGGGACAGCUGCAGGGAUAAAAGACAAUAGAAGUUUGGGGGAUAUCACUGACAGCUGUCUGUUGGGCUGGUCCAUUUUUCACAAGUGGUGUGUGAAUGCAGGAAUCUUAAAAGGUGCAUGGAAUUUUCAGACCCUUAUUCUGGUCUCUGAAGUUAAUCAGUCCUGCUUACCCAUAAAACCAUGGAACUUUGCUAACCUGCAUCUAUCCAGAUGUUAUCCCAAAAAGCCUAUGGACCAGUCACAGUUCUUGUUGAAAAUCUGUCCUGUGAAUUGUUUCACAGGCUUUUAUAAGGACUUUUAAAACACUGACAAUUUCUGUGCUUUUAUGUCCUUUCUUUUUUCCUCCCUCUACAAGAAUUUUUGUAAACCUUUUACAUGCAAAUCAAAAUAGUGGAUGAAGGACUGAACGAGAUUCUGUGCUUUGUGUUAUACAGAAUACCAGAAUUUGUCAUGGUCUUCUGAGUCAUAAAAUUACUAUUUCAGCUUUGUGGUGGACUUACAAGACCUCAAAAUCUUAACAGAGAAAUUUGGAUUCUUAACUGGUUGGAAAUGUCAGAGUAACAGGCAACAACAGAACCGUGUGUGGGGACGUUCUUUUGCAGGCUUUGUCCUUUAGGUGUUUCCCUUCUGCUACAUCCCAGGCUGACAUGAACUGUGUAGUGUAGCCACACCUGCCAGUUCACACCAAUGGACUUUAAAGUAAAAUAAAUUUUGGGGCUUGUAUGCCCUUAGAGUUGCCAUCAGAGGCAUGUGCCUGUUCAAACCAGCUCUCACCAUCCAUCUCUAGCCAUGUGCAUUAAGGACACAACUGGGAGCUGUCUCUGCCCUAAAAGGCAGAGCAUCUGUUGACCUCAAAAAGUAAGAUUUUGUGUAUGUGUGUGACCCCCUUUGUGAACUCUUCAUGUUUUCAUGUAGUACUAUGCAGCUCUGAGUUAAGGCAAAUUAAUCUCUUGCAUUGAACUUUCUUGUGCAUGCUGUCAUUGCUAGUGAGGGAAAAAAUACCGUGAUGUGAGCUCCUGAGAGAGCAUGAUGGUGCCUUUCCUUGGGAAGGAAAGCACCUUGCCACAGUAUUGGUAUGGAGAUGAUUGGUUGCCCAAGGGAGGUUAAGGCCAGCAGCAUCUUUCUCUCUUGGCAUUGUGUCCGUGGGAGCAAUCCCCAGGGCUAACCAGUUUUGGGGGUGGUAUCCAAAUUUCAGAGGUUGACUCAUGAAGGAGGAUUACAUUACCUCUCCUUGGGAAGGAAAGCACCUAGCUCCAGUGUUGGUAGUGCAGAUUUGUAGGGUGCCUAUAGAAAUUCUUGGCCAGGAACAACUUUCUCUUGGCACUUUUUGUGUGGAAGCCAUCCCCAGACAUAUUCUGGAGUGGGCUCCUGAAAGAUCAAAUUACCUUUCCUUGGGAAGGAAAGCACCCAGCCCCAUUAUUGGUGGUGCAGACACACCAUGGGGAGUUAACAACCAGGAAUAUUUUAUUUUCUUGGAAACCUUUGUAUGGGAGCAAUCCUUGGACAUGUUCAGUUUUGGAGCUCAGCUUCUUAUUUCAGUGUUGGGCUCAUGAAAGAGGAUGACAGCACCUUUCUUUCAUCAGGAAGGAAUGCACAUAGUGCCAGUGUUGGGGAUUUAGAGAAAAGGCUGCCUAGAGGUGGUAAAAGCCAGCAACAACUUUUUGUCCUGGAUACUUUUGUGUGAGAUCAGUCCCUGAAUGUAUUCAGCACUGCAUGAAUUCAGGAUGGCUCCAAUUUUCAGAGCAGGUCUUCUGAAAAAGAAUGACAAUACCUAUCCAUAGAAAGACAGAGCCUGAUCCCAUUUUCGGUGUUGGAAAUGUGAGGUGUCCAGGGAGUAUAAAAGCCAACAAUAGGUUUCACUUCUAGCACUUUUCCUAUGGGAGCAAUCACCUGUUGUAUUCAUUUUUGGAGCUGGUAUCCAAAGUUAGGAGAGGGGCUUCUGAAGAAGUAUGGCAGUAGCUUUCCUUGGGAAGGAAGGGACAUACUUCCAGUGUUGGCAAUGAUUUAAGGCUAGGAAGGGUUUCUGUCCUGGCACAUUUUGUGUGAGAGCAAUGUAUUCCAUAAUUGUGCAGGCAGUAUGCAGAACUGGGUAAGUGGCUCCUGAAGGAGGUUCCUUUCCUGGGGAAGGAAAGCAUUUAUUGACAGUGAGGGCGCUCUAGAUGAUUGCCUGCUUGAUGGAGGUAAAGGCCAGGAACAUCUUUCUGUCCUGGAACCUUCUGUGUAGGAGCAAAUCUUGAACACAUUCAAUUUGGGAGCUCAGCUGCAAAUUCCAGAGGUGGGAUUCUGAAAUAGGAUGUCACUACUGUUCUUUGGGAAGGAAUGCACAAUAGUCUCAGUGUUGGUGGGAAUUUGCCUUUGUCCUGCAAGAUCAAGGAUAGCAAACCAGAUACAUCAAAAUAAAUUAUUUACUCUCAUAGUCUUCAGAUGACAACAUCCCCUAUUUCGUUACCACCUCCCAAAAAGAAUCAGUCUGGGCUUGGAGCCCAAACAAAAGGUGCCAGGACAGAAAGCUGGUGCUGGCCUUUACCUCUCCUGGGCAGCCUCUCAUCUGCACCACCACCAUGGGGAAUAAGUGCUUUCCUUGCAAAGUUGAAUGCUGCUGCCACAAAUUUCAGAAUACCUCCUCCAAAAUUUGAAUCUGAGCACCAUCAUUAAAGAAAUCCAGGGAUUGCUCCCAAAAAAAAGAUGCCAGAACACUAAGCUGAUACUGGUCCUUCUCUCUCCUUGGCAGACUGUCAUCUGCUCCAACAAUAUUGAGCUUAGUGCUUUUCUGCCCAAGGAAAGGCAGUCACAUCCACUUUCUGGAGCCCACAUUCAAAACGGAAAUCAAAUCUUAACAGGUUCCAAAAUUGAGGCUAUACAGGAGGCCCCAAGAGAACAAACUGUUACUGGCUUUUAGGUCUCCUGAGCAGCCUGGUGACUUCAACCACUGCUGGGGUUACAUGCUUUCUUCCACAAGGAAAGAUACAGUUCACUUUUUGGAGGGCACAUGCAAAAGUUAAAUUCAAUCUUCAAAACUAAAUGGGGCACAGGAUUACUCUCCCAAAAAGAAAUGUCCCAAGAAAAAAGGUUUUAUUGCUGUUUACCUUGUCUGGGCAGCCCAGCAUCUAUACAAAAAACACUGGGGCAAGGUGCUCUCCUUUCCCAGGAAGAUGUUUCACCCCCUUUCUCUCUCCCUCCUACAAAUUUGGAUACCACUGCUCAACUGAAUACAUCCAGGGACUAAUCCGACACAAGACAUUCCAGAACAGAAAGCAGUUGCUGGCCUUAACCUCUGUGAGGCAGCCUUUCAUCUGCAGGAUGAGCUUGUGUAUAUUUCCAAGGAAAGGUGAUGUGAUUCAUGUUCAGGACAUGAGCUCUGACAAAUGGAUCCAAGCUGCAAAGGGAAAAAGUGUUGCUGGUCUUUACCUCCCCUGGGAUGCCUCCUGCAAUUUUGGAUACAUCCAAAGGUUGCUCGCACAAAAAACAUUUUGGGACAAAGUUCUUGCUGGCCUUUACCUUCCUUUGGAAGCUUGUGGUCUGCAGCAGCAACACUGGCAUUACGUUCUGUAUUUCCUAAGGAAUGGAACUGUCACUCAGUUCCUAGGCCCCACUUUGGAAAUUUCAGGCUAAGCUCAAAAAUUGAGUAUGUCCAAGGAUUGCUCCAACACAACAGGUGCCAGGCUAGAAAGCUGUUCCUGGCUUUCACCUCCAGUGGGCAGCCUGUGACCAGGACUUAAAACAUUGGGUCUCCAGGUUUUCCUUGCCAUGGAACAGCAGUUUACCAGCCAAAGAGGGAGUGCAUGCUGCUAGAGUGUGAUGUGAAUUAAAGGUUGCAAAUGGAAUCUGAAGGCCAGACAAACCUUCCUGCCCUGGCACGUUGCUUUUUUUGCCAGGACUGAUAAUUUCAAGCUGGGAUGUGCACCCUUCACUGCUUCUGGAGGACCAGGACAUUUUCCUCUUUUGCAACUGCACUGUCGCCAUCGUGUGGAGCUGGGCAACUGCAGCAGGGAAGGUAAAAGACACCACAAGCUUUUUGUUGGGACGCUGUUGGUGUGGGAGCAGUGAGUAAACUGUUUGGGAUCUUGGGUCUGUAAGAGGGAAAGAAUGGGAAGGGAUAUAGAGAAGGAAACUGAACAGCACCAGGUGUGCAGAGGCUGCAAGCAGAAGGUGAUGCCCAGCACUUUCUUUUUGUUCUAGGACCUUAAUCUGAGGGUUAUUGGAGAUUUCAAAUUGGCACAUGGACUCACCAGACUGUAGGAGUAUGAGACCCUACAUACAGCUGGCAAGAAAAGUGCAUAGCCCCAGUGCUUGGGUGCACUGAUAGGCAGUGAGGAGAAGGGGCAGUCCAGCAAAUCCUUUUUUGCUGGUACAUUUUUCUGUGUGAGCUGCACUUGUUUAAUUCCCUGUGUCCGCAGCAGCUAUCCCAAAAGCCCAAUUAUGUCCUUUUGGGUCCUUGAAAUACCUUCUCCUGAGGCAAUCUAUGCCCACGAUGUCCUGGGCCUCUGGGCCAGUCACAAUGGGGUGAUUCUGUCAUUUGUUCACAGUCAGGCUCACUCAGCCUCCAGCACAGUCACUGCUGGGAUCCCCCUGCCACCCCAGAAAUACAGAUGGAUUCUGCCCCUACGCAUCUUGACGGCAUCAGGGUACUUUGUGCACCAGUGUCAAUUAAAGCCUUAUAUCUGAUGCCAGCCCACUGGAUCCCAUAGAUCAGAUUGUCCCUUUUCCCCACCUGGCAGGAGACAGGGCCCCUCUAGUUCUCAUCAUGGUACUCACUGCUCACUUCUUGUAAACAUGAACUGGAAUCCUUCAAGAGGACUGGAUUUAACAUUAGCCUUCCUGUUGUGUCUGAGGACUUGCCCACAGGAAAUGGGAAAGGCAUUUAUACCUGUGCUGCCAGGGCAGAGGUGAGUUUUCCAUCCCACUUCUUGAUGUGCUCAUUUAUAUCACAUGCCAUAAGCAUAAAUACUAUUCAGUAUGCAGAUUGCUACAGUUCCCUGAAAUAAAAGGUGGGCAUACACGGAGAAUAACACUUAAUCCAAGGCUACUACAGCUCCCCACCUGCCUUGGACCCCAAGAUCAACUCACCAGUGUUUUCAUGUAUACCAACAGAUUUUUGGAGUGGUUUUCACUUACAUUUAAAUUAAAUGCCUUGAGUUUUUUAGGACUACACUUAGAUGAUAUUUAGUGAUGACAGGAAUGAAAAAUUUGUCUUUACAAACAAGCUGUGGGUCUGUUGGUAGAUAAAACCAGCACUGAGAGAUAAAAGAAACAAUGGGAAGGAUUCCACUGAUUAAUGAAUGGAAAAAGGUAUCUGCUUUUACAAAUGAACUUCAGGUUUGCUGAUAAAUGAAAUUGGACAUUGAAAGAUAAAAUAAACAAUGGGGAAAACCCCUAAAUUUCAAAAGAAUUAAAAAUUUAAAGGGAAGGUUAUACAUUAGAGGAAAAUCUUCAGGAUCAGGUGUAUUGGGAAGUCUGUACCUCUCAAGCACCUCAGUCAAUGGGGAAAGAGAAGGAAAUGUGCCCAGGAAAUUAGGAUAAAAAGGAGGCUGCGUCCUCCAAAAAACUGAGAGGCCCCAGGGGAAAUGCCCCAUGCCCUCUCCCUUUAUUCAAAUAAAAGACUUCUCUGUCUCCUUUUUGGACAUA